rnacentral:rRNA from 1 species
AUGCCGACCUUGGCUUCCAUGGCGAUUCCAGAAGAAGGACCGGUGCCUUUCGAGGACGCCCUUGUUGUUAUAGGCACAUACCUCGUAUCCUCGCCGCAGCAGCGCGAGGAAGAGCAUGCCGACCUUGUCGCCACCCUGCCGAGCGCGCUGGAGGCCAACGGUGUCAAGAAGCUCCGUCUUUACCAGGGCUUUUGGAUACGGGAUAUCCACGUCCCGGCGGCCAUCGCCCUCCAGCGGCAAUUCGAGCCCCGCCCCGACGACGUCAUUGUGGCCAGCUUGCCCAAGUGCGGCACCACGUGGCUCAACGCCUUGACCUUCGCGACGAUGGCACGCAAGGCCUACCCACCCGCCAGCGCCGACCACCCGCUCCGCCGGCUGAACCCGCACCAGUGCCUACCUUUCCUGGAGGGCCUGUUCAAGGGCGGCCGGGAGGCGGAGCUCGAGCUGCUCCCGUCCCCGCGCCUGAUGAACACGCACAUGCCGCUCCCAAUGGUGCCGUCGGCCGUGCCCGGCUGCCGGGUCGUCUACGUAUGCAGGGACCCGAAGGACAUGGCCGUCUCGGCGUGGCAUUUCCUCCGCCGCCUGCAGCCGGACCUGGCGUUCGCCGUCGUCUUCGAGUCCGUCUGCGACGGCGCGGUGGCGUUCGGCCCGGUAUGGGACCACGUCCUCAGCUACUGGCGCGCGAGCACGGCGAUGCCGGACAAGGUGCUCUUCCUGCGGUACGAGGAGCUGCUCCGCGACCCGGCCAAGAACGUCCGAAAGCUGGCGCGGUUCAUCGGAAUGCCAUUCUCCGCAGCGGAGGACGAGGCCGGCACCGUCGACAGCAUCGUCCAGCUCUGCAGCUUCGGGCACCUCAAGGGCCUGGACGCCAACAAAACCGGGCACUUGGAUCCACUCCUCCCCGUCCCGCGUGAUGCGCUCUUCAGGAAUGGGGCGUCCGGCGAUUGGGUGAACCACAUGACGCCGGAAAUGGCGAGCCGUCUGGACAAGAUCGUAGCUGAUAAAAUGCGCGGGACAGGGCUCACUUUUCAGUGA